GGGCAGCUCUCUGCAGUACGUCCUUUCGCUUCUUCCUACUGAAGAGGUUUACAACCCGAAGGCCGUCAUCCCUCACGCGGCGUCGCUGCAUCAGGCUUGCGCCCAUUGUGCAAUAUUCCCCACUGCUGCCUCCCGUAGGGGGGCGGGGGCGGCGGGCCGGGCGCGGGGCGCGGCGGGCGACGCG
rnacentral:rRNA from 1 species